rnacentral:lncRNA from 1 species
GGCGGCCUGGGGAGGAGGAGGAAGAGGAGGGAGAGAUGUAAAACCUCAUGUGGAUUCUGCCAUUUGAAACCUUAAAAAUGUCACUUGCUGUCCCUGGACCUCAAUUGCUUAAGUGAUAUGUGGCUUCUGGGAUGGGGUCUUGCUGUGUUGCCCAGGCUGGUCCUGAACUCCUGAGCUCAAGGGAUCCUCCCGACUUGGCCUCUCAAAGUGCUGGGAUUACAGGUGUGAACCACUGCACCUGGCUUCAGGAAUUUUCUUAUUCUUUUGAGACAGGGUCUCACUCCAUUGGCCCAGGCUGGAAUGUAGUGGUGCCAUCUUGGCUCACUGCAACCUCCACCUCCUGGGCUCAAGCCAUCCUCCCACUUCAGCCUCCUGAGUAGCUGGAACCAGAGGUGCACGCCACCACACCUAGCUAAUUUUGUUUUGUUUUGUUUUGGUAGAGACAGGGUUUUGCCAUGUUGCCCCGGCUGGUUUCAGACUUCUGGCCUCAGCCCCCCAAAGCGCUGGGAUUACAUGCAUGAGCCACUACACCCGACCAGGAAAAUCUCUUAAUUAUCCAUCCAGAUUCACACAAGAAAUGGAAGACGGUUCCUUGAGGCCUGGGCAGGCUGGUUUUGUGGCCUGCCCACACACUGGCUCAGGGACUUUGCCGUUCUCACUGGGUCAGGUGGGAUGACAGAGCUCAGUGAGGGCACUCGAUUAGCCCAGCCCUGAAGGAAGGACGAGCAGCUCACCCCAUCUCAGUGCAGCCUGCGGCCCCCGCAAGGUGUCCUCCCUGGUUACUGCACCAUCUCACAGCCCUCUAGCCUCUGGGACUCAAAGGCAGGCUCCCUUGCUGUUUCAAGAUAACUUGACAACCCAGGAAAACCCUCAUGUCCCCCACUCCCACCUUUCCAAUUUUGGUUCCUGCCUUGCUUGCAUAAGGACGCUGUUCCCCCCCAACAAGCCCUGCCCAUCCAUGCUGUGCCUUCACCUGGGGGAUAUUCCAGGAAGCCUUCCCUGACCACCCUCAUGACGAUGACUUCCUAAGGGUGACGGUGACAAGUGCCAGCAGGCCAUCUGCACAGUGAAAGACACCAGUGCUUCUCCCCAUCUGCCCGCUGAGCACCCCCACUCUGUUUCUGGCCCCAACACCAGUUUCCCAAAGAUACUGUCCCCAUUCCAGUCACCAUUCUAGAUGCACCAUUCUAAAGGCGUGGGCAUUUAGCAGCAGGUACACUGAGGCUCUCAUUCUGGGGCUGCAACUUGCGCUAAGGCUUUGUGCCUCAGUUUCCUCAUCUGCAAAAUGAGAAUAAGCACCUGCGCUCCAGAUGGCCUUGUGCCAACUGCUUGGGAUGGCAGAUCUGGCCAGCUACCAGUGUUGCUUUCUUCCCUGCACCUUCCUGGGCUUUUCUGUCCUCACCCAGAGCGGGCGGUCCGGCUUGGAGGAGGGACUAACUGGCCGUGAAGGGGAGUCCACCCACCCGACUGCCCCUUCCCCUCAUCCCUGGAAGUUCCAUCUGAGACAGGGGGAUGGAGCUUCCCUGGGUCUAAGGGGCACUAGGCUCGCCACCCCCUCUUCCUUCGGGGCGCACCGGCAGAGGGCGGUCCGAUGAGCACAGCCGCGGCCUCCACGAGCAACACCAGGCCCAGCGCACUGGGGAAGCGGGGCGCGCCCACAGCCGCC